rnacentral:ncRNA from 2 species
GGACGCGACUCUGGAGAGUACGUACAUAUGUAUGCGUCACCAAAGGGGAAGGUUCUAUGAAACGGUAGAACUAAACUCUCAGGUAAAAGGACAGAGAAGGGGAG